AUUUUGAAUAAAAGUUUUUAUUGGUAUACUUUUAUAGUCCCUUUAUUUAUUCUGUCCUUUGGUUUACUUAUAAUUAAAUGUGUUUCACUUUUUGGAAAGAUUGGAAAUAUACAUAUUGAUGAUUCUACUAUUACUUCAAGUCAUUUGAAAGAAAGUACAAUAAAUUAUUAUAUUUUUUAUACUGACCAGAUGGAAUCCAAUAAAGUACUAAACACAGACUUUAGUAUGAAAAUGGAUAUUAUGGGACUGGGUAUGUCGAAUAAUUAUGUGCGUACAGAUUACAAAACAAACGCUUUAACAAAAAAAAUGAUUACAAAUCAAAAUAACAAUCAUAGUAAAAAUUUAAAUAACGUCAAACAAUUAAAUAACUUCAAACAAUUAAAUAACGUCACAAAAUUAAAUAACGUCACAAAAUUAAAUAACAAUAAUAAUGAUUAUAAUCGAAUAAAAACUCCUUCAUUCAAUUUUUAUAAUGAUACAAUAAGCUCACUGUUACAAAAAUAUAGCUUAAAAGAAAAAAUUAAUUACAUAAAUGAAGUAAUUAAUGUAAACGAUUUGUAUAGAAGUGUUAAUGAUUAUUUAGAUAGAAGGUCUAAAUUUAAUAAAGAUAUAUCAAUCGGUUCUUAUGUAUUCUUAAUUAAUGAAAAGCAAAUAGGAAAUGAUGAGGAGUGUUGUGGAGAAAACAUAAAUAGUGAUAACAACACGGAGAUGGAAACAGAUAUUGAGAUUAAUGUAAAUUUGUUUUAUAAUUAUACUUCUAUUCAUUCUCAUGCAUACUAUACUAAUUUAAUAUUCAAUAUUUUAUUAGAUUUUCAAGAUUUAUUAAAUGAUAAUAAUUCAAAACUAAAUAUAUACGAUUAUUAUAAGACCGAAGAAGGUGAUGGUAAAGUAGUCACAUAUGAUAUUGGACAAGCAGAAAAGGUAAAACCAACCGACACGCGACCACACGAUAUAUACCCCAACGAACUAAGACAACAGAACGAACCAAUCCAACAAAAAGAACUAAGACAACAAAACGAACUAAAUGACGAUAGCAAAAAUAAG
rnacentral:lncRNA from 1 species